GGUCGAUUAACUCAGUGGGAGAGUGCCACCUUGACAUGGUGGAAGCCGUUAGUUCAAUCCUAACAUCGACCA
rnacentral:tRNA from 1 species